GGCCGCUGACGUCAUGUCGCCGAGUCUCUGCUGCCCAGUGGUGGCGGGGAGGGGGUCCUGUUUCCGAAGCGCCACAGCCAGCACUGUCGGUGGCUUCAGGGCUCCGGAAGAGGUGGUAUCCGUCGGCCCAGAGUCCCCUCUGUGUCGAGCCACGGGCCUUCGGUUCUCCCUCGUCGGCGCCCGCCCGCCUCCCUGCCCGCCCUGCCCCGGCUCGGGUCCAGGUCCGGCUGCCCCAUACAUUUAACUCUGAUUUUUUUCCCCCGCUGGAAAACCCUCUUUGCUGAGAUCCCAGCAGCCACACCAUUAGCUCCGGACAGGAAGGUGUGGUGCCGCCUGGAAAGAAUUUGCGUCUGAGAAUUGUUCUCCGCGGACCAGAGACCAUUGCAAAGGUCUGCGAGAGUCACCCUGUCUCAUCAGGCCGUCGUGAGGCAGUGGGUGCUUCCAUUUUUCCGGGGUUCCUUCGUCUGGGUGAUGGGGUGGGGGCGCUGAGGCCUCCUCCCCGCUCCCUCAGCAGGCACCGGCGUGGAGCUGUCUGGCUGCAGGAGGACAAGAGGGCGCUCUGUCUAGGGCUGAGUGGAGGCCCCAGGAAGAUGAGACCGAGCCCGGGGUCCGUGCCUGCUUCUCAGCUUCCAGCCAGCGUCUUUUCUAAGUGCAGACCAGGCGAUUGCAGACUUGCUUUUCCAGGCAGGCUCUAGGGGCACCUGUGAUCCAAGAAUCUCUUGUUAGUUUUAGACCCGAGUCAAGCUGUGUGUCAGAGUCCAGUCGGGGAACAGAAGCCAUCCCAGACAAAUAGGUUUGAUGAUCGACCCCUACGAUGUCAGACUGGCUGCCUGGGACAGGAGGCUUAUGGAGUUCCUGCACAGUAGGAUGGCGGCAUUCCUGCCUAUCAAUCCACAGAAAGGUCUGCGGAGUCUUGCAGGCUGGAGGUCUCUGGGGCUACUUGGCUAAGCUGGGAUGGCAAACGGGGGAGCUGACUCCCUCUUGUGGACACGUGCGGUUCUGCAGGAGGGCAGUGGGACCUGCCCUUGGUGGGAGUUGGCCGGCCCACCUUGAAUUUCAGGAGUAAGGGGGAGUUGGCUGGGAAAGGUCAGUCUGAUCCUCUGAUGUGGAUAAGGAGUCACUGGUUUAUAGUGAUGAUGCUUUUCUUCAAAAGAGAUGAAAGUCUUGUCCCUGAGAUCCAGACCCUCUGUGCGAGGAACCCAAAGGCCUGUUUGGCCAGCGACAGAGACGCAAAGCUAAAAGACAAGCCUGUCUCACCAAGACAUCUGUUUUGGGCCUUGGAAUGUCCUUUAAAGUG